CCUACGGGAGGCAGCAGUAAGGAAUAUUGGUCAAUGGAGGCAACUCUGAACCAGCCAUGCCGCGUGCAGGAAGAAGGCCCUAUGGGUCGUAAACUGCUUUUGUACCAGAGAAAACCCGAGUACGUGUACUCGGUUGAUAGUAUGGUAAGAAUAAGCAUCGGCUAACUUCGUGCCAGCAGCCGCGGUAAGACGAAGGAUGCAAGCGUUAUCCGGAUUCAUUGGGUUUAAACGGGUGCGUAAGGCGGACUGAUAAGUCAGUGGUGAAAUCUCUCGGCUUAACCGAGAAACUGCCAUUGAUACUGUUAGUCUAGAGUAUAGAUGACGUUGGCGGAAUAUGACAUGUAGUGGUGAAAUACUUAGAUAUGUCAUAGAACACCGAUUGCGAAGGCAGCUAACGAAACUAUAACUGACGCUGAGGCACGAAAGUGCGGGGAUCAAACAGGAUUAGAUACCCUGGUAGUCCGCACCGUAAACGAUGAUUACUCGUUNUUGGCAAAUAUGACCCGUCAGCGCCAAGCGAAAGCGAUAAGAAAUCCACGUGGGGAGUACGCGGNAACGGUUGAAACUUAAGGAAUUGACCGG
rnacentral:rRNA from 1 species